GGUAUUAGGAGAAGCAGGCACGCAGCCCUAAAGGCUCCAAGUCUCUGUUCCCAAAGGAAAGCUAGCCCACAUCAGACCUCUCUCCGUCCCAAAUCAGUGCAACAUUAGGCCUGAGGUUGGAAGCAGUAAGUGAAGGAUUCUAAGUAAGUAUUCAAUAACCCGCUUUACCUACAAUACUGAGUUCAUUCAUACAUUCGUGUUUUAAAGGACGACAGCACCCACUCCCCGACCCUUGGCCACUUAGAACAAUCAGGGUGACUGUCCCGGGAGACACUGACGGAUAAACAUUGUGCAAAACCACCCUGCAAGGAUGCCUGAAGGGGUCGUUUGCUCAGUUUUGAGCGGAGGCCAGAGGGCGAGUGAAGGCAGGGGUCUGCUCAGAAUUACAAGUGAGGUUUGAAGCAGCUCUGGCCAACACCUCAAAGAUGUGUCAAGAUUUUAUAUCCAGGAUUUAUCUCGUACAUCACUUACUUUGGCAAUUAAAAACGAAAAAAAAAAAAAAAA
rnacentral:lncRNA from 1 species